GACGAACGCUGGCGGCGUGCUUAACACAUGCAAGUCGAACGGAAAGGCCCUGCUUUUGUGGGGUGCUCGAGUGGCGAACGGGUGAGUAACACGUGAGUAACCUGCCCUUGACUUUGGGAUAACUUCAGGAAACUGGGGCUAAUACCGGAUAGGAGCUCCUGCUGCAUGGUGGGGGUUGGAAAGUUUCGGCGGUUGGGGAUGGACUCGCGGCUUAUCAGCUUGUUGGUGGGGUAGUGGCUUACCAAGGCUUUGACGGGUAGCCGGCCUGAGAGGGUGACCGGCCACAUUGGGACUGAGAUACGGCCCAGACUCCUACGGGAGGCAGCAGUGGGGAAUAUUGCACAAUGGGCGGAAGCCUGAUGCAGCAACGCCGCGUGCGGGAUGACGGCCUUCGGGUUGUAAACCGCUUUCGCCUGUGACGAAGCGAGAGUGACGGUAAUGUGUAAAGAAGCACCGGCUAACUACGUG
rnacentral:rRNA from 1 species